rnacentral:rRNA from 1 species
GCGUAAGGGCUCGCAGGCGGUUUCUUAAGUCUGAUGUGAAAGCCCCCGGCUCAACCGGGGAGGGUCAUUGGAAACUGGGGAACUUGAGUGCAGAAGAGGAGAGUGGAAUUCCACGUGUAGCGGUGAAAUGCGUAGAGAUGUGGAGGAACACCAGUGGCGAAGGCGACUCUCUGGUCUGUAACUGACGCUGAGGAGCGAAAGCGUGGGGAGCGAACAGGAUUAGAUACCCUGGUAGUCCACGCCGUAAACGAUGAGUGCUAAGUGUUAGGGGGUUUCCGCCCCUUAGUGCUGCAGCUAACGCAUUAAGCACUCCGCCUGGGGAGUACGGUCGCAAGACUGAAACUCAAAGGAAUUGACGGGGGCCCGCACAAGCGGUGGAGCAUGUGGUUUAAUUCGAAGCAACGCGAAGAACCUUACCAGGUCUUGACAUCCUCUGACAAUCCUAGAGAUAGGACGUCCCCUUCGGGGGCAGAGUGACAGGUGGUGCGUGGUUGUCGUCAGCUCGUGUCGUGAGAU